rnacentral:rRNA from 1 species
GGAUUAGAUACCCUGGUAGUCCACGCCGUAAACGAUGAUCACUAGAUGUUGGCGAUACACUGUCAGUGUUUUAGAGAAAUCAAUAAGUGAUCCACCUGGGGAGUACGUUCGCAAGAAUGAAACUCAAAGGAAUUGACGGGGGCCCGCACAAGCGGUGGAGCAUGUGGUUUAAUUCGAUGAUACGCGAGGAACCUUACCAAGGCUUAAAUGUAAAGCGAUCGGUUGAGAAAUCAGCCUUUCUUCGGACGAUUUACAAGGUGCUGCAUGGUUGUCGUCAGCUCGUGCCG